rnacentral:rRNA from 2 species
UUUCAACAAUGAAGCGAGUGGCGAACUGGUGAGUAACACGUGGGAAAUCUGCCCAGAAGCAGGGGAUAACACUUGGAAACAGGUGCUAAUACCGUAUAACAACAAAAUCCGCAUGGAUUUUGUUUGAAAGGUGGCUUCGGCUAUCACUUCUGGAUGAUCCCGCGGCGUAUUAGUUAGUUGGUGAGGUAAAGGCCCACCAAGACGAUGAUACGUAGCCGACCUGAGAGGGUAAUCGGCCACAUUGGGACUGAGACACGGCCCAAACUCCUACGGGAGGCAGCAGUAGGGAAUCUUCCACAAUGGACGAAAGUCUGAUGGAGCAAUGCCGCGUGAGUGAAGAAGGGUUUCGGCUCGUAAAACUCUGUUGUUAAAGAAGAACACCUUUGAGAGUAACUGUUCAAGGGUUGACGGUAUUUAACCAGAAAGCCACGGCUAACUACGUGCCAGCAGCCGCGGUAAUACGUAGGUGGCAAGCGUUGUCCGGAUUUAUUGGGCGUAAAGCGAGCGCAGGCGGUUUUUUAAGUCUGAUGUGAAAGCCUUCGGCUUAACCGGAGAAGUGCAUCGGAAACUGGGAGACUUGAGUGCAGAAGAGGACAGUGGAACUCCAUGUGUAGCGGUGGAAUGCGUAGAUAUAUGGAAGAACACCAGUGGCGAAGGCGGCUGUCUAGUCUGUAACUGACGCUGAGGCUCGAAAGCAUGGGUAGCGAACAGGAUUAGAUACCCUGGUAGUCCAUGCCGUAAACGAUG